ACACAGAAGCAGCUGUGUUUGUUUGAUCUUCUCAGUGCCAGGAUUUUUGGGUCUGGAAGAGCCUUCGCAAGCUACCAACAGAGGCAGGACUAAGGCACCGUACAGAAGAGCUCCAAUGUUGCAAAUAACAAGUAUAAAUAAAGGCAAGCCAGGAAUGAAAAGCACAAGGCGACUCUGGUAACGAAAAUGUAAACACAAACAGACCCUGCUGGUUGCUAUGCAGCUUUCUGGAGUUUCCAAAAUGUUGAAGGUGCACUAACUUGAGUGCUGUUUUCCUUGUACUCGACAGACAAAUGCAUUGGCGUUCUUUCCCUCCCAUGAGGGUAUCUGCCUGCUGUUUUUCGUUUGCACAGCCUUGGGGAGGGAACAAGCAAAAUGUAGUAGAACUGGAAAUCAAAGAUGAAUGAAGCGGUUUCAAAUUGCUGGAGUAUCUGUCAAAGCUAUACCUGUAGAAAUUGCUUUCAAUAUUUCUUUUAACAUUUCAAAAUUGCUCAAUAUUUAAGCCAAUUUUUACUUACACAUGGAGUAUCAAUUUCAUACCUUCAGGGAAACUGCGGGAAAUGUUUGCAUGCAUUUACUCUUGUGAAUGUUUUAUGUUUCGGCAUUGUUUUCAUUAUUUCAGGUACUUUUUUGAAAAAAAAUAUUUGACAAAUACUCUUCAUUGAAUUUUAGUUUGAAGUUAAAAGCUUAAAUGUCUUUAAACUGAAUUUUUGGGAGGAUAAAUCUAGUUGGAGUGGUUCACAUCUUUAUUACCUUUCCAUUAGACUAUAAUGCACUCUGGGUGGGGCUGACUUUGAAAAGUAUUUGUAGCUAUAGUUGCCACAAAAUGCAGUGCCAGAUUGUUAUCAGGUACAGGUAGACCCCUGGUUACGAACAAGAUAGGUUCUGAAGGUUUGUUCUAAUGUUGAAUUUGUAUGUAAGUCAGCACAGAUAAUUUUCUGUUCCUGUGAUAAUUUGAUUUUCAAAAUGUGGAUUGUUAUGGAAACAGAGAUUAGUGAGAAACCUUCAGUGGAGACCCCUUUCCCCAUAAUAACUCUUCCAGGAGUGAUGAGUCAUUCGUAAAUUGGAUGUACAGUAGAGUCUCGCUUAUCCAACGUAAACGGGCCGGCAAAACGUUGGAUAAGCAAAUAUGUUGGAUAAUAAGGAGAGAUUAAGGAAAAGCCUAUUAAACAUCAAAUUAGGUUAUGAUUUUACAAAUUAAGCACCAAAACAUCAUGUUAUACCACAAAUUUGACAGAAAAAGUAGUUCAAUACACAGUAAUGCUAUGUAGUAAUUACUGUAUUUACGAAUUUAGCACCAAAAUAUCAUGAUGUAUUGAAAACAUUGACUACAAAAAUGCGUUGGAUAAUCCAGAACGUUGGAUAAGCGAGUGUUGGAUAAGUGAGACUCUACUGUAUAUCACUCUAGGACUGCCUUUACUUUCGUGACACCACAGCUCUUACUCUGCAUUGUUUGCCAGUCUGUUUCAGAACUCAUUGUAUGUUUUUGGUUUUGACCUACAAAACGCUAAAAGUCUUUGAAGCAGGAUAUCUGAAAAAUGGCAGUGUAGAUCCAACCCUAAAAAGGCUCAAACAGGAACUGUCUGUGGGUCUCUCAGUGCUUCUGUGCUAUUCUAUGGCGUGCUUCUGGCCCAAAUAUAGUUAAAGGAUAGGAUUUCACGAUUAUUUGCAGUUUCAAGUAUCUAUGGGGAGUCUUGAAACAUAUCCCCUGCAGAUAUGGGAGUUAUACUUUGUUCUGUAUUUCCUUCUGUGAAUCAAUAGCUGUCAUUUUCAGAAUCUUCCUGUGGUGUUUUCAUGAAUCUGUAUCUUUUUGCUAUCAGUUAAAAAAUCUGGUGGGAAAAAUACUGUACUAAUUUGAUGACAAAAAUGGUAUUAUUUUUACUAUUAUUGUGACUAUGAUGCCAAGAAGGUACUCAGCUACUUUUUAUGGUUCCUGUUUUCCUGCUAACCCCCACAGGGACUCUGAAAGGUAGGUUUGUUGACAGGCAAAGAUAGACUAUGAUGGUAUGUUCCAUGACUAAACAGGGAUUUAAAUUUGCAUUUUUCUGUUCUAAGCCCAGCAUUUUGAACAUUAUGUUAGUUAUCUCAGAAGGGUAGUUACUAUUUAAAAAAUGAUGUCAAGGCUGAAUCACAGUGGGGAGGAAAACUACAUUUUUGUGUUGAAUUUACAUAAUUAGAAUGCAAAUUUAUAAUAUGUAGAAUUGCAAUAAUUUGCAUAAUAUGCAAACUAGAUUCCCACAUGUAAAGUUCCAGAAUAUGGCAAUGCUAGUAGUAAGUUAUUAUCUGGAAACAUUUAUUUCUUAAAGAAGUUCAAGGGCCAGUAAUCACUCAAUGAAAUGGUGCAGAGAGCGAGUCAUUCCAAAUCUGCAACCCCCAAAUGAAACAAGCAACACUAGAUUACUGUCCAAUGAAGAACUUGUGUAGGAGACUUGGGACCCAUUCACACUAAACCAGGGGUCCCAAAACUAAGACCUGAGGAUUGUAAAUGGUCCUCCAAGGGCAUUUAUCCAGCCUCCGCCCUUAACUUUAGACUUAGGGUUGCCUAAAGUCUGAAAUGUCUUGAAGGCAUGUAACAAUAUCAAUCCCAGUAGUCAAGUUAAUUAGGAUUGUUAUUGUUGUGUGCCUAAUUACAUCAUUAUCUCAUCAGGCAAAUGCAGACCCACACUUCCCAUUGAAACACUGGUAUGUUUAUGUUAGUUAAAAUUGCUCUUCAUUUUAAAUAUUGUAUUGUUCUUUCAUUUCACUACAAAUAAGGUAUGUGCAGUGUGCAUAGAAAUUCAUUCAUGCUUUUUUCAAACUAUAGUCCACCCCCUCAACAUUUGAAGACCCCUGCAGUAAAAGUUUAUAGCUCUAUGUUCCACUUUAAUUGCCAUGCCAGGUGAGUGGGAGCAAUUAGAAUUUUAUGUCUGGUGCUUCUAACAAAACUACAUGACCCAGGAUUUCAUAGGAAGCAGUUAAAGUGGAAUCAUUGUGCUUUAUUUUUAUAGGACUUUAUCACACCAGCUCGCUAUCCUGUUAUAGUCAUGUUAGUUUAGACAAUGGAUAUCCAUACCAAGUUGAACACCUUCAAUAUAACACCUCUCUCCAUUAGUGCAAUGACAACAGUUCACCAUUCAGCGGUCCCACAAUUAUACACUCGUAACCUCAUAUUUCCACAUUACUGUAAUUCCUUUAUUUAUUAUCAUUAUUUUGAUUUAUAGCACAAUUGUGCAAUUUAACCAAAAAAAGGCAAAUAUAAAUAAAAAAUGUAAAAUGUAAAGAAAACAAUUCUGGUAAUAGUGAAGAUGAGAAGAGAGAGGAGAAUACCACCCCCUGAUUUCACUUUACUGCCUGUAUGCCAGCACAGAUACAAAAGGAACUCUUCACACUAAAGUAGGUUGUGAGAACAUAGUGAUAUUGGGAGCUAUUGAUGGGUGAGCCAUGGUGGGAGGUGCACAAACUGGUAACAGGAUGCACAUGGUGAUGACAUCAUAUGGCAGGGACUAUCACCAAGGGUGAUGGUCCAGCUGCAAUCCCAGUUUGCCUGCUUUGCCUGCUUUUGUGACGUCAUCAUAUGGGCUGAUAUGCCCAUAGUACGCCGCUUCCUCACCCCUCGCCAUGUAGCUCAUUACACAAUGCACAUCUACUUCUGGCCAGGCUCUGUGGUGAAAGGGAAGAGGAAGCGAUGUACACUAUGAUGGUGGCAACAUUGGAGGCUUCCUGUGUUGUCUUUUCUACAAUGGGGGGAAGCCAGGUGGCGGACGCUUCGCCCCGUGGGAUGGGGCCAGCGAUAGGUUGGGUAAUUGGGGCCAUGGGGCAACGAGUUCUCCACACACCCCGACAUGACCCCAUGUGUGGCGAAUCCUUCACUUAAUGAGGUUACUCUGGCUUUAAACCAGCAAAUGACAGCUGUCAAUUUUUUCUGCCAAAGAGGAAACUCCAACUAUCUGUGACGUCAAAAGGAUUCCCCAUUCAACAGGAACUCGGAUUGAAACCAUGCCAUCUUCUGACCGAUCAGGAGAGAAAGUGGGUUUUUAAAUGACUGUUGAAGAGAAUAAAAUGUCUUGUGCUGUA